GACGAACGCUGGCGGCGUGCUUAACACAUGCAAGUCGAACGGAAAGGCCCUGCUUUUGUGGGGUGCUCGAGUGGCGAACGGGUGAGUAACACGUGAGUAACCUGCCCUUGACUUUGGGAUAACUUCAGGAAACUGGGGCUAAUACCGGAUAGGAGCUCAUGCUGCAUGGGGGGGGUUGGAAAGUUUCGGCGGUUGGGGAUGGACUCGCGGCUUAUCAGCUUGUUGGUGGGGUAGUGGCUUACCAAGGCUUUGACGGGUAGCCGGCCUGAGAGGGUGACCGGCCACAUUGGGACUGAGAUACGGCCCAGACUCCUACGGGAGGCAGCAGUGGGGAAUAUUGCACAAUGGGCGGAAGCCUGAUGCAGCAACGCCGCGUGCUGGAUGACGGCCUUCGGGUUGUAAACCGCUUUCGCCUGUGACGAAGCGUGAGUGACGGUAAUGGGUAAAGAAGCACCGGCUAACUACGUG
rnacentral:rRNA from 1 species